GAGACUCUGCCACCCGCGCAGCUGCUGCAAGGAUGGCUGGCUUCACGGCCUUGGUCCUUCUCGGGCUGCUGUUGCUGUCUGGACUGGACACCAUCCAGCGUAUUCCAGAGGUCCAGGUAUACUCAAGACACCCGCCAGAAGAUGGAAAGCCAAAUUACCUGAAUUGCUAUGUGUAUGGGUUCCAUCAACCCCAGAUUGAAAUCGAUUUGCUGAAGAACGGGGAGAAGAUUAAAUCGGAGCAGUCAGACCUGUCUUUCAGCAAGGACUGGUCUUUCUACCUUCUGUCCCACGCUGAGUUCACUCCCAACAGCAAGGAUCAGUACAGCUGCCGAGUGAAUCACAUUACUUUAACACAACCCAAGAUAGUUAAGUGGGAUCGAGACCUCUAAGCAGCACCAUCAAGAUUGAAGAUUCUUCAUUUGGUCUAAUUCCAAAUUCUCUUUCCUUGCUCUUUAAUACUGCUCUGCUUUUCUGCUUUAUGAACAUAACAAGAAGUCGUAUUCAUGUUACCACAAAUACUUUCUUUAUAAUCCUACCUUGGGCCCUACUUGUCCAUGUUUGACCUGUCUAGGCAGGUGUCUGUGGUGGAGGCGCUGGCAUCGUGGAGGUGGGGAAGACAAUUGCAGAUUUAACAUCAGCAUCUGGGUGUCUUCUCAUACAAAACUGGGUAAUAGAUACUUAUGCACAUUAAAGUGAGCCUCCAAUUUUGUAACUUUGUUUACAAUUUUGGGAAAAUUUUGGAAAGAUAAUUUUUAGAAAUAUGGGAAUUUGUUAAUUUUUAGAAUUAUGGAGCUUGUGGAUGAAGCAUUUUGCCAUUUAAAAUUUAUAUGUUAUCUCCUAUAUCUGUUAGAAACUUGGUUGUGCCUUGUUUUACUAUAUAUUUUGUUUUACUAUUUAAAACAAUGGUAAAACAUUGUGUUCAGCUUCUCAAAGGAACAACAGCUGACUUCUCAAUGUCAGUGGGAUCCAGAACAUAGCAGAAAGUCAUCAUGAAUGUGAUGAAACAACUUGCUAUCUAAAAUUCUGUAUUCAAAAAAAAUCUUUAAAGAAAA